rnacentral:rRNA from 1 species
UGGGGAAUCUUCCGCAAUGGACGAAAGUCUGACGGAGCGACGCCGCGUGAGUGAUGAAGGCCUUCGGGUCGUAAAGCUCUGUCAUCGGGGACGAAUGGUCGUUGGAGUGGAAAGCCAGCGAAAUGACGGUACCCGAGAAGGAAGCCACGGCUAACUACGUGCCAGCAGCCGCGGUAAUACGUAGGUGGCAAGCGUUGUCCGGAAUUAUUGGGCGUAAAGCGCGCGCAGGUGGGAUCUUAAGUCCAUUUUGAAAGUUCGGAGCUCAACUCCGUGAUGGGAUGGAAACUGGGAUUCUUGAGUACCGGAGAGGAAAGCGGAAUUCCCCGUGUAGCGGUGAAAUGCGUAGAUAUGGGGAGGAACACCAGUGGCGAAGGCGGCUUUCUGGACGGUGUCUGACACU